ACUCUGGUCCGGCCGGGCCUAACCCUCUGUGGAACUCCCAUGCCCUUCACUGGGUGUGGCGGGGAUAACAGGACUUUUACUGUGAAAAAAUUAGAGUGCUCCAGGCAGGCCUAUGCUCGCAAUACAUUAGCAUGGAAUAAUAGAAUAGGACGUGUGGUUCUAUUUUGUUGGUCUUCUAGGACCGCCGUAAUGAUUAAUAGGGACAGUCGGGGGCAUCAGCUAUUCAAUUGUCAGAGGUGAAAUUCUUGGAUUUAUUGAAGACUAACUACUGCGAUUAAGCAUUUGCCAAGAGAUGUUCUUCAUUAAUCAGGAACGAAAGUUAGGGGAUCGAAGACGAUCAGAUACCGUAGCGUAGUCUUAACCAUAAACUAUGCCGACUAGGGAUCGGACGGUGUUAUUUUUUGACCCGUUCGGCACCUUACGAGAAGUUCAAAGUGCUUGGGCUCCAGGGGGAGUAUGGUCGCAAGGCUGAAACUUAAAGAAAUUGACGGAAGGGCACCACCAGGGUUGUGGAGCCUGCGGGUUAACUCGU
rnacentral:rRNA from 1 species